rnacentral:rRNA from 1 species
AUUGGGCAAUGCCCGCAAGGGUGACCCAGCAACGCCGCGUGGCGGAUGAAUGUCGUAAGAUUGUAAACUCCUGUUAGAGGGGAAGAAUAGUACCGGUUGGACCGGUAUAUGACUGUACCCUCAGAGAAAGCCCCGGCUAACUACGUGCCAGCAGCCGCGGUAAUACGUAGGGAGCAAGCGUUGUUCGGAUUUACUGGGCGUAAAGGGCGCGUAGGCGGUGCGGUAAGUCACUUGUGAAAUCUCUGAGCUUAACUCAGAACGGCCAAGUGAUACUGCUGUGCUAGAGUGCGGAAGAGGCAACCGGAAUUCUUGGUGUAGCGAUGAAAUGCGUAGAGAUCAAGAGGAACACCUGAGGCGAAGGCGAGUUGCUGGGCCGACACUGACGCUGAUGCGCGAAAGCCAGGGGAGCAAACG